CACAACAUGACCCAGCCAUGAGCACUCCCAGCCCAGAAAGGCAAUGGGAUCUUGGGCUGAAUCCAAAGCAGCGUGGACAGCAGGGAAGGGAGGGGAUUCUGCUCUGCUCUGCUCUGCUGUGCUCUGGGAAGCUGGAACACUGCAUCUAGCUCUGGGGUCCUCAGCACAAGUCCAGAGGAGGCCCAUUAAGUAGGUAAGAGGACUGGAGCAUCUCCCUCAGAAAUACAGGCUGAGCAAUAUGCAUCUCUUCAUCCUGGAGAAGGCUGUGUAGACACCUUAUGGCAACCUUCCAUUAUCUCAAGCAUCCUACACAGAAGCUGGAGAGGGAUUCUUCAUAAGCUAAAAACUGGACUUUGGUGACCUCAGGAACUUGCCACAUUUCACAUUUUAUAUAUAUCUGUCUGAAUACCACACCUGGCUGGACAGCAAUUUCCCUGCGAAACUGUGUUCUGGAAAACUUUUCCAGAUUAUUUGGAGCACUUGACUGGAAAGAGACUAGAGAGAUAUCACAUGUGACUCCUUGGGGUUGAACCAAGAUCUGCUACCUCAGCCCUGUAUCUGUAAACUGCAGCUGCAUCUUAGAAGUCAUGCAUUCUUGUAUUCCUCCUCUUAAGUAUUUUUCCUAUGGUUUGUGGAUUUUUCUGUUAAGUUGUCUGUAAGCCUCUGGAGAACCAUGGAUUGUGGCUGUAAAUCAAUGGGAUUAUCAUCAGAUAUCAUCAUUAGGAGCAUCAGACAGCUGGGCAAAAGUCUCAACAGCCUCAGACCAUCUGCUGAAUCCAGGUUAAAAAUUAUUGAUAUGAUGUCUGAUACAUAUGAUCUAAGCACCAUAUCUCAGUAACAUCUUGAUGGAUCAGAUGACUCUUUCGAUUUACGAUGAGCAACUUUCUUGUGAGUAUUUUAUAGGCACGUCCUAAACCAGAGAACACGGCUGAUCCAAGUUGUACAAUUCUCUCUCUUCAGUCAUCCUGCUCCUCAGUUUCUGCCCAUAGUGAUGUGACAGAAAGAACAGAGUAGAAAGCCUAAUGCAGACUGAACAAAUCAUUGGUACCACUUAUUCAGCAUAGACAAGGAUUACCUUCUUCAGACUGAGUUAAAUAUCCAAUGCAGACAUAUCCUAAGACACGUGCAUUUUAGAAGACUACUGUAACUGCCAAGUAAUUAGCUAGAUUAAUUUCUCUUUAUAUCCAUCUAGGAAUUCCACAUCUGAUGUCAAAACACUUUGCCAACUAACAUUUUAUUGCUAACAGCACAUUCUGGGGGAAAAUUGCAAUUUGGCAAGCAAUACUUUUCCAAACGAUAUACUGUAUUCUAAAAGCUCUCAACUGGUUUUAGGAAGUGCCUGAGUUUUCCUCUAAUAUUUUGCUAUUCAUCACUCUCUGUGUUUCCAAGCAUAAAUGUACAAGAUGUAUGUCAGCAGCUGAAGCCUACAAUUUUUUAGCAGCUGAAGCCUACAAUUCUUCUGUAGCUUAAAUAUAUUGUCCAUAAGAUGAAAUAUACCAAAUAACUGGAUCUCAAAAGUAGUUAGAGAAGUAGGAAUAUUUCAAUAUUAUCAGGCACAUGACACCUUAAAUUUGUUCUAAAAAUAUUGUACUUCUAGCCUGUAAUUCAUAGUCAGCAUUUGAAAGGGGGAUAUGAAAAAAAACCCUGAUGUGAUAUCAUCUCAUCUUGUUGGCAUAACUCAGGGUUUCUUUUUUUUAGUUUUUUUAAAUCCGACUUCUUUAUGGUAUCUUAUCACAGCUGAAUGAAGAAAAAGUUCUGUUCCUUAGCUUGGCACCUGUUUUUUGAUAGGAUGUUAUUUUUUGGAUGGCAUUUUUUGCAACUGAAGCAAAAUAAAAUAAAACUAAGUACAUUCAAAUCUCAAACAAAUACACACUGUAAAACCAACUAACAUCACAUAUAAAGAGUGUGUAAAACCAUCUAUCAUACAUAGAGAGUUUAGACCUUUCCCGUGCCUAAGAACUUUUUGUCUUUCUACUUGAUUUCUUUUUCACUUGGAUUUGUAAGAAGCUAAACACCUGUGUUUGCAAGACUCUUUCAAAGGGGAAUCUGGGUGAAAGAAAAUUCCUUUGCAGAAGACUCCAGUGCCUUCUGAGGAAUUUUUUCCAAGUGUUUAAUUCAGCUCAGGUGCCACAUUAGUGCCAUAGAGCUGACUGUCUUGGGGAGGCAGUAUGCUCCUGCUGCUUCCCAGCCCCAGUCUCACUUGUUUGUGAUCAGCUCAGAUUUCUCCUCAUGUGGGUGUGCCCAGAAACCUUUGCCAUAGAAAGAGAUCGUGUGAGGCAAUGCUAUUAUUAGAUACCAGCGUCCUUCAGGCACACACUCGUCUCACAGAUUUUUUUGUUAAAUAUGGAAGUGACAUCUUGUCUGCUGCCUAUGGAGAUUUUUUUCUCCUUAGUAGCCUUCUCACAUUAAUGUGACUCUUUGUCUUUGCAGUUUGUCUUCACAUUUGGCAGUUGUAAAGCAUUAUCUAUGCUUAAAACAUACUGCUGUGAAUCAGAACUUAAUGAUUCGAGGCAGCUGUUGGAUGUUCAGUUGACUACCCUUGACAUUGUUAUGUGCUGAUUAUAUUGCAUAUUCCUAGUAUUAUAUCUCUUCACAGAACACUGGUGUUUCAAAAUGCAUGCUUUGCAUUCCAGACAGACAUCCUAUCAAGCAUCAUCCUGUUCUAAUUCUGUGUGCAUCUCCUGGUAUUCAUGAGGGUUUUGUAAGAUUCCCUCCAGACACGAAAAGUACUUUGAAAGUUUCACCUAGAGCGUAGUCUUAUAAGCCUUCUUAUAGCCUUCACACAGUUCUUCUCCUUCAAGAAACUGAUAUUUUUCCAAGGUAGCACUGGUGAGUGCUAAACUUCUCAGAACAGUAAGCACAAACAGGCUGCUGUACAUACAAUCCAAGACCUGUGAAUUCCUCAGAAACUGGACUGCAGGAUUUUUGAAUGUUACUUACAACCAUCUAUCUUAUUUUCAAUAGAUAUGCCCUUCCUAAGACUGUUGAAGUGACUAUAACCGCUGUUUGAUCACUGUUGUUGCAGUGUCACUGUGGAUGACUUGGGGUUAGUGUGAAAAGUUCAAAGUUGUAGGCUUCAAACGAGCUGUUCUCCAUAUACCAUUCUUAGGAGCUUGGUCCAAGUUUCUGAACAGUAGCUUAGGUUUUCUGCCCAGUUUUCCUAUACUGUUGAGGUUAAUGAAGUCGGUGAAGAGAGUAGGAUAGAAAGAAUGGCAUUUUAAUUAUGAUAGGGACUGAUAAGUGCAGACAUGCUGUGGGUAUUUUGGAAAACAAGCUAGGAUGUUGCAACAUCAAGUUAGUAAUUGCAUAAGCAUACUAGCAGUUAGCUGUUCUAGACAAUUAGCAAUUAGCUAAUUGUUCUAGACAAUUCUUGCCUUGCCU